UAAUUAGUUGGUUAUCCAAUGCACCAUGAAGAGUAGUGGUAGAGUAUGCGACAUUCUUAUCGGGGUCGGAAUGUUGUGCGAAUCCAUUAACGAUGAACAAUACUUUUGAAAAUGGGAGUGUCGAAGAAUCGGAGGCCUCAAAUCUUACGUUACCGGCGAUCGCUCAUCAAAUCGCGACAUCCUUCUCGGUUCAGAUGCUUUCGGUCGAGUAUUAUUGAUGGUUAUGGCUCAAGACCGUUCCGAACCGCUCAACAAUUCUUAAAGGUGCUCAUUUGGGAGGCAAAUUGGCUGAGAAUUUGGGAGCCUUCGUUUCCAUCAUAUAAAUAGAUCUCAGCACUAAUCAUAUUGGAGACCAAAUACCGUCAAACCUUCCACUUACCAUUAAGAGCUAUGUUUGUCCUUCUUCACAUCAUGGUUACAACACUUUCUAUAUGUAAUUUUAAAAGUUAGAAAUAUAUGUGAAAUGUAGAAACAGGGGAUAACAUGGAUACUAAUCUUAAUGAGUUAGAAACAUGUAAAGUCAAGACCAAUCUUUUUCAUAUCAAGUUGAUGCUUUACUCACUUAUUUGUACAAGAUUAUUAGUCAUGAUAUUACUAAGUCUUGUAAGUGAUUCAUAACCAACAUAAAAUGAAACGAAUGAGAAAC